GACGAACGCUGGCGGCGUGCUUAACACAUGCAAGUCGAACGGAAAGGCCCUGCUUUUGUGGGGUGCUCGAGUGGCGAACGGGUGAGUAACACGUGAGUAACCUGCCCUUGACUUUGGGAUAACUUCAGGAAACUGGGGCUAAUACCGGAUAGGAGCUCCUGCUGCAUGGUGGGGGUUGGAAAGUUUCGGCGGUUGGGGAUGGACUCGCGGCUUAUCAGCUUGUUGGUGGGGUAGUGGCUUACCAAGGCUUUGACGGGUAGCCGGGCUGAGAGGGUGACCGGCCACAUUGGGACUGAGAUACGGCACAGACUCCUACGGGAGGCAGCAGUGGGGAAUAUUGCACAAUGGGCGGAAGCCUGAUGCAGCAACGCCGCGUGCGGGAUGACGGCCUUCGGGUUGCAAACCGCUUUCGCCUGUGACGAAGCGUGAGUGACGGUAAUGGGUAAAGAAGCACCGGCUAACUACGUG
rnacentral:rRNA from 1 species